rfam:Mustela putorius furo unplaced genomic scaffold scaffold00169, whole genome shotgun sequence.
AUUUUAGUCUAAGUAUGUCCCAUGCAAUAUAUGGGGCAUACUUAGACUAAAA